rnacentral:rRNA from 1 species
GAUGAACGCUGGCGGCGUGCCUAAUACAUGCAAGUCGAGCGAACAGACGAGGAGCUUGCUCCUCUGACGUUAGCGGCGGACGGGUGAGUAACACGUGGAUAACCUACCUAUAAGACUGGGAUAACUUCGGGAAACCGGAGCUAAUACCGGAUAAUAUAUUGAACCGCCUGGUUCAAUAGUGAACGACGGUUUUGCUGUCACUUAUAGAUGGAUCCGCGCCGCAUUAGCUAGUUGGUAAGGUAACGGCUUACCAAGGCAACGAUGCGUAGCCGACCUGAGAGGGUGAUCGGCCACACUGGAACUGAGACACGGUCCAGACUCCUACGGGAGGCAGCAGUAGGGAAGCUUCCGCAAUGGGCGAAAGCCGGACGGAGCAACGCCGCGGGAGGGAUGAAGGUCUUCGGAUCGUAAAACUCUGUUAUUAGGGAAGAACAAAUGUGUAAGUAACUAUGCACGUCUUGACGGUACCUAAUCAGAAAGCCACGGCUAACUACGUG